rnacentral:rRNA from 1 species
AAAUAGAGUGUCAAGCAGGCAGAUCCAAUUUUCUGCCACCGAAUACAUUAGCAUGGGCAUAAUGGAAUAGGACCCUGUCCUCCUAUUUUCAGUUGGUUUUGGCAGCGCGAGGACUAGGGUAAUGAUUAAUAGGGAUAGUUGGGGGCAUUAAUAUUUAAUUGUCAGAGGUGAAAUUCUUGGAUUUAUGAAAGAUUAACUUCUGCGAAAGCAUCUGCCAAGGAUGUUUUCAUUAAUCAAGAACGAAAGUUAGGGGAUCGAAGACGAUCAGAUACCGUCGUAGUCUUAACCAUAAACGAUGCCGACCAGCGAUUAGGAGACGUUGAAUACAAAACACCACCAUCGGCGCGGUCGUCCUUGGCGUCGGUCCUUCACGGGGCCGGCGCGAGGGCGGCUUAGCCCGGUGGCACCGGUGAAUGACUCCCCUAGCAGCUUG